UGGCUCAGUUGGUAGAGCAUGGUGUUUGCAACACUAGGGUUGUGGGUUCGAUUCCCAC
rfam:Salmo salar isolate Sally breed double haploid chromosome ssa16, whole genome shotgun sequence.